rnacentral:lncRNA from 1 species
GGCUCUCUUAGCAUUCCAAAAUCAGAAGCAAGCACAAACAUGAAUUGCCUUGAUCCCCAACUGUCUCUCUUCCUGCGCUUCCACUUAAGCCCCCUUCUCUCUAUUUAAUGUUAUUAUAAUCCAUUUCUCUUGCAACUUGUAACGUUUCCCGAGCUUUGCAUUUCGGGCCCCAUAGCUCACGCUAUGCAUUUUCACCUUGAAAGCGAUAGCUUCGAAGACAAAGUGAAAAUCCCACAACCAUACGCAGGAAUACCAUGUAAGAAAACACUUGCUUGAGCAUUUUUUUUCUUUUUUUUCGGGUAGUGGGUUGUCAGAUUCAUCAUCGAAGAGGCCUGAGUUGGGUUCCUACAGUCUCUCUCUUUAGUUCUUGUCAGUAUAUGCACAUUUGACUAGUUGAAUACAUUAUAGAACUUAUAAAAUCUGCUUUGUCCUUUGCUUGCUGAAUUAUGAAAAUCAUCAAUGGAGUUUUAGAAUCCAGCGAUCUUGUACGUAUAUUUUUUUUGGCAUCAAGCUCCUGAUAUAAAAUAGAGACUCUCAUGUUUUCUUCAGAUACUUGAUAGAUUUGAAAUGCUUGAUUUGAAGAUAUAAUCUGUUACUGUCAAGAGUUGCAGGAAACCUUCUGAUGUGGAGGUUCACUGGUAUUGAUGAAAAUAGUGCAUGCUGAUGCUAAGAUGCUAUUCAUAUCAUAAUAUUUAGAGCAAUAAUUUAGUAGCUUCAAAAAUGGUGUUUGGUUUGUAGGAGCACAGGGAUUGUUGAUUCGUUUCCCAUAGGAUAGGCUGGGUGAUUGAUGGAAUAUGGUGGCGGAGGUAAUCAUUCCACCUUCCUCCGUUUCCAUAGUUGAUUGCAUCAUCAUUCUUUCGCUAGUUAUUCUUCUUUUGAUUUAUUUCUAUCAAAGAUAUGAUGAUUUCAUUUCUAAAAAGCUCAUUCUAUGGGCUUAGGGUAAAUAACUAUCUGAUUACAUCAUCAUUCCAAGCUAUGUCAUCUUCUUAUAUGGUCAGUAAAAGAAAAAAAGAAUUUCCCUACAGUUGAUUCACUUGAAAAAGAUCCCAAUUUUUUCAUUGAAAUGGAGUGAAUGAUUGUCCAAAUACUCCACUUUGCUGAUCUAUGAGGUUUCCAAACUCAACGGAAAAAAACAAAAACAUUAUUUUACUUAAUGUUGUGAGAAGUGGUGGGCUUUUGCCAAUUGUUUAGUUACCUCACAUCUUAUGUCACGCAUGCUCAGAGCUCUGCUUGCUGCUACCACCUAAAUGUCACCUCAGUUUUGAAAAACAAAAACCCUUUUGCAAGUUGCUUGCCUAGUGCUUCCUUCACUCCAAUAAUAUGAACAACUUACAAAUUGUGGUCUCUCCUCUCCCCUACCACUAAGGAAAGAAAAGCUCUAUUUUCCCUUGAACGAUGGAGGAUUGAUGAUUUUGUCCAUUUCCUGUUUCAUUCUUUCAGAAACAUGGGGUGGUGGUGGUGUUUUGAGUGCCCCACAUGAUUGCCAGCCUCUUUCCCUAUUAGGAAUCUGAUGCAAAAGAAACAGUAAAAGUGGCAUUCACUUCUGUUUUGAUUCUUGUUUUCUGGUACACUUGUACUUGUUUAUUCAACAAAGUUCUCAUAACCAAACACAUUUAGUAAGAAAUGAAAUGCUUAUGAGCACAAGAUCCCUUACGGGCUUCAACUAAUUGAAAGUUUAUUACAAAUAUGAGUCGACUCAUGAAUUGUGCAGUCCAUCAUUGAUCCUCCCCACUCAUUUUGAUAUUCUUCACAGAUGACAUGAGGAAGUGAAACACUAACACCAGUAUGCACAAAUUCUAAUAAUUAUUCAGUAGAUGUAUCGCUUUUAAUCUUGGCAAAUUCCAGGGUUUUCUUCCCUUGCAACUUGUUAGUUACAUAGUGUUUGUUGUAUUCUCCAUGGGUGUAUCUCCUGUACUUGCUUGGGGUUUUGUCAUUCACCAGUUCAGGCAUUGGUCCAAGCUCUACUUCGUAGCUUGGAGCAUAGAAAGUGACAAUAGAGAGACGGUCUUUUUCCUUAUGAGUCACUGCCCUGUGUUCCACGCUCUUGUAUUUUCCAUUUGUUAGAACCUGUAUAUUCAAAAUAUUAGAUAACCGCAUAAAAUUAAUGUUACAGGUAUCAUGGGAAAUCAAAAUUCAGGAUUCUUACUUCUAAAGUGUCGCCAAUGUUGAUCACUAAUGCAUUUGGAAUGGGCUGAACAGGGAUCCACUUGUUGUCUUUAAGGAUUUGAAGUCCAACUGAGCUACCCUUUCCUUGCUGCAGCACAGUUAGGGCACUCCCAUCUGAAUGUGGGCUUAGGCCUAGAACAAGGUCAGGUCUUGAACAGGGGGGGUAGUAGUUCAUCCUUAUGGCUUGCACAGCCACCCCAAACAUUUCUUCAAAAGUAUCUGCUUUCAGGCCAAGGGUCAUGGCUAUGUACUUCAAUAGAUUCUGGCACAGCUUCCUCACUUCUCUAGAAUAAACCUCUACAGUUUCACUGCACAAGUAACAUAUGACAUUACUGCUAAGAAAUUUGUAGUAUUAAAACUCUAUAGUAUCAGUAAGGCACAAAACUUACCCAAAUUUUGGUGGAUUUAUCGGCCACAGUUUCGGGCUCCUUAUAUAGUGGGGCUCAAUUCCAAGAGCAAACAUGUUGCACCAGUCCAGCUUUUGGUCCUCAGAGAACACAAAGGCUUGUCCAUAUCCCUGAACUGUUCCUGGUGCCAUUGGAUACUUCUGCUUCUCCUCUAAAGGUAGCAUGAAAAAAUUCUGGGCCACCUCCUCCAUGCUCUCAAGCAAACUCAGAUUAAUUCCAUGGUUAAUCACCUGAGAACCCAAAAUAUAUGAGUCAGCUUCAAAAUCCAUUUCUUAAGUUGUAAGAGAAAGAAAAUAAAUUUAGUGUACCUGAAAAAAUCCCCACUCCCCACAAGCUCUUGCAAGCUGCAAAAUUUCAGUUUGGUAAUCAUCUUUACUGCCAUUCACUAACCUUGAGAAAUUGAUGAUAGGUAUGUUAUUUAGAGAAGGCAAAGCUGUGGUUAGUGUUGGCCUUUCAUUCAUAUCCCUGACAAAUCUUUCAGGAAUUGUUGUUGGCUUAGCCUUUCUCAAUUCCUGAACAUCAUCAAUAUGACCAACCUUGAUUGGAGAACUGGGUACAGGAGCCAUGGCAGUAAAAUUUGGAGAUGACUAAAUAAGUGAAAUCUAACCAGUGCUGCUUGGUAGUUCCAGGCUUACACAACUCUGUAUUUAUAGGAGAAAACAUAGAGUUCUAAUUUUUUUAAUAUCUAGUGUGUGCUGUACAGCAUGUAGGAUGCAGGCCCCUAUUAUGUGCACUUUAUAAAAGUUGACUAACAGACGUAAGAUUUUAUGGGAACCUAGCUAACUUCUGUGUGGUGAUCGGAUAUCUGCAGAACCAAGAAGACUAAACGCAAAUCACGAAAAAGCAAAUUAACUAAUUAAUAUGAAAGCACAGUAGAUUUGUUCCAUUAUUGUUAGCUCUCAGAAGAAUCAAAUGUAAUCUGAUCCCACUAUAUUCAUCCAGAAAUACACAAGAUAACUGCAGUAAAAAUUUCUUCUAUCACCUCAGAAGAUGUGCUUGUGCUGCCUACUAAAUUUUUAGAUUAGCUUGUUCCCCUCUAGCAUCUACAUAGCACAUGCAUUCUUUACCGAAAGUUAAAUGUAGAUUGCUAUUAUUUUCUGAAGAUUUUCUUGCGGGGAAAAGUAGCAUUCACAAGCAGUACAAUAUCAAGUUGCAAAUAGUCAAAGGUUUUUUUUUUUUUGGUUCGACUCCUGCACAUUAAGUAAGACUAACUCUAAAUUUAAAUUCCUAAAUGAAGUCGCAGGAAAAGCAAAGGUGAAGAACAUAGUUUUGUCUUAUCCCUUGCCUUUGGAACAAAAAGACAGAUCACUACCAAGAAAAUUCUGACCAGAUUCUUUUCUGAUUAAGACAAAGGACUAAUUCCUUUUUUCUUUUUUCCCAGAGCCUAUAAGUGGAAACUCCUUAUCCUUGUAGUUAAAAAUUGGUCUGCAUUAGCUUGUACUCCUUCAAUUUUAACAGUAUAACAGGGAUUAACCUUGAAAUUGGCUGAACUUGGCACAUUCCAACAAACGAUUAUAUUAACUGUCUCUGUCUUUUUGUUUGUUUUUUUGCUCUGAGUCAUGGUCCUCAUAGUUUCUGUGAACGUUGAUAAGAGAGGACCCAACAACAAGAUAGGCCCCAAAGGGCAUGGAAUCUGAUAAAUAGUGGUAUAUCUGAUUGUCUCUUGGCAAGUGGUUUUAGUACUUAGUAGGGGCCCUUCAAAUGGUGCCAAUUUAAUAGGUCCCAGAUUCUGGCAAACCAUUUGAAGCGUUGUGUUUGUCAUCAUCCAUUUGAUGACCUCUUCUCCAAUAUCACCCCUACACUAUAAAGCGCGCCUGACUUGUGUACUAUGACUCUAAUCAGAGCCCUUUCAGGAUUAUAAUCAAACACGUAGAGCUCUAUUCUAUGGGAAACCCUCCAGGUCCAUACCUCACAACUCCACAGCUGGGUUGUUGACAUUUGAAUACUUCAAUUACCCACUUCCACUUUUGGAGGACUUUUUGCUUGUUAAUCUUGGAAUCAUUUGCUUUAUGUUUUGUAUUUGCUAGGAAACUUAUCUCAAAUCUCACUUUUCUUUCUAUCAGUUUCAAAGUCUUAAAAUUGAUCCCAGGCCUAUGAUGUAGACUUGAAGCACAAGGCAAUCAAUCCAGUUUCAACUUCCAAAGACUACAAAGCAAUUUUCCUUCCAGGUUCCUAGCACUAUCCAAUAUUGGCUUCAUGAUUAAGGAAAAUAAAGUACUGAAGGGAAGAGAGAGAGGGAGAGGAGGGGGAUAGUCCAUUAAGAUCCCCCAGCUGACAUGUGUGCAAGACUAAGGCCAUAGUUAUCCAUUUCCUCUUUGUUGACUCCUCGUAAUGUGUCAUUGCUUUUGCUGCUAAUGCUCCAUCACUCUCAAUCUCAAUCUUGUCUUUGGUUUCCUUUUUCA